CAGGAGAACAUCAGCAGCAGAGAUUCUGCAUGAAUCUACGGCAGGCUGUGAAUACGCUGGCACACCAGACCGCAAGCUAAACAAACAGUGUCAUGAUCUUUGGACCCAAUGACCUCCUCAGGUAUGCAAACGUGCAAACCUAUUCAAGACAGGAAAACAUGAAAGACCGGUGAGAGACGUAAUUUGGAAAAUCAUUCAGGAAUCCUAAGGUCAUAAUGAGCUACAGUCUUGAGGAACGCAAGCCGACCGUGCUGGGAAUACCGAGAAAAAAAUAAUAUCAUCAUCAAACAGCAGUCAGGAAGAUGUGACUGACAAGUAAACUCAUUGAUUUUCAGGAUCAAUAAGGGUAGGAGUAAAAUUCUCCGCCGCAUCAACAUAAGGUGUUUAUGAGCACAAUGGGAAGAAGGGCGGCAGGAUCUUGGGACUGCAGUGCCAUAAGGAGAAACGCUGAUCUAUAAAAACUAACAGCACUCAACACCUGUUAUAGCAUGAAUGCCACCUAGCUGCUGGCUACAUUCUUAAAUAUUUCAUGCAUUCUGCUCUCCAGUGCUCAGAGAGAUGUUGCACUUGUAUUGACAUAGGAUGUCCUGGCAAAUACUGGGAUGCUGCAGCUCUGUUUUCUGCAUGUUCCAACUGAAGGAAUCGGCGAACCACUAAGGAUUGACAUUCAGGAUGAAUACUCCAGUGCUUUCUGAUGGUCAAGUUCAACAUGCGUUCAAGCAUUGAAAGUGUGAAACCAUCAAGAAUAAAAAUUCAUCGCACGUAAGAAUGUGAAACGAAGUGAUAAAUACAAGAUCCAAUAACCAGAAGAGUUUAAGGCUUUAAUUUAAAACUUUAUACGCAAAACUCAUGUUUUUGUUGAAGUAAUUUUGAUGUGUAAUUCUAAUGUUAUCAUUAACAUUACUUGUCACCAUUAAAGAAUACAUAAAAAUUCACAACUCAAGCUCUGGAAUACAUCAAAAUAUACAGUACAUGCAAUAUCAGACAUGUCAUGAAGAUAUAUGCUUCACAUAUAAAAAUACAUAUAAAUAACACAUUUUUGCACUGCUUGUCACAAAAUAUAUACAAUGUAUUAAGGAUCUGUUUUAUUUUUACAACUUUACUCUGCUGUCCUGCACCCCUGCACCACUGAAAGAAGAGACCGGGGGAGACUGUGCUACUACACAUAAUGUGAGUUUGAAUGAGUUCUUUCAUUUUUUUACUAAAAUAUUAAGGCCACAAUAAUGAUGAUAGAAGCAGAAGAACUGAAAUGUCAUCCACUCUACUACUUGGGACUGUCUCUCCUAUCGGUCUGACUGUGUUAGCCUGUUGUCUUUCUAGCUCUUUAGAUUAGCAUAUGCAAACUUACAUGCAAGUCCAUGUCAUUUCACACAAGAACAUACAUAAUGCAUACCGCAUAAACUAUGAGGAGACAUUCUUGUCAAUAAAUAUUCCUAACAAUAUCAGUAAUGGAAAUAACAAUAUUUUCCUUAAUCAGAAAAGUUCAGAAAUUAUACUUCUGAGAACCUUUUAUGAUUGCUGUCCAAAAUGGACUCACACAUACCCUAGAAACAGGAAGACAUGGGGGGGGGGGAUUAAAAGCAUCCAUCCAUCCGUCCGUCCAUCCAUCCAUCCAUCCGUCCGUCCAUCCAUCCAUCCGCCUGUCCUUCCAUAAUGUAUACACUGUAAUGUACACCAGUAGAGGUCUUGUAACACUUGGUCAAUGAUAUAAAACUGUCUGGAUGAUGAAUAUAGACACUCAUUUCCUGGCAAUCCAAAUUCUUUGUGUUGUAGUAAUUUACAUACCCUAUAAAUAAUAUAUUCACAUCACAUUCAUGUACUAUAUGUGUGUAUAGGGUUUUCUCUUGCUGAUGUGCAGAACACGCAUCACACUCACGUUUGUGAUGAGGAAUGUGGCCUUUGAUGUUACUCUCAUGGACAAUGAUUAAAAACUGUAUGUAUUUUGGGGAACUGAGAGCCUCAGUGGGUAAGGACUCUGUGCCCAUGACUGUAAAGUCGCUAGCUGAAAUCCCGUGGUUGGCAGAGUUACGUUACUACUGGGCCCUUAGCUCCAAUUGCUGCCAGGACAUCGACUGACCCCGCCCUCGGACCCCCAUUUAUACAGUGUCUGCUAAGUAAAAAAUAAGUGUGAUAUAACAUCAGCUGCUGCAUAAUGGGGGCUAUGUUGAUUUCACAGGCUCUGACAAACACCCCAGAUAGGCGUGUGUUUGUAUGAGAGACGUAGGAGGAGAAGAUGCAGUUCCCAACAAACCAGGGAAACUGUUACAGGGGCCAUGACUCUAAUGGCACUUUUCCACUGGCACACUGGAACUGGCCCAAGCUGUGCCGCAAAGAGAGACUAGUUACAUCGCGGUUCCAGCUCGCUUCGAUGCUCCACUGCCGAAGGGUCGGCUUGGUGAAGAUGUUGCUGGGUUUGGAGAGCGACUGUGACGCAAAACCGAAGAGCCGCACAUAUACUGUCCGCACGGUGUACAUUAAGACUUUCUAUGUACAAAUGUUUCUCCCUUUUUUUGUUGUUUACCGUUUGCUAAUUUUCACUAGAACGUCUAUGAGAAUUGCUGUGUUAUGCUAGCGUCAAAUGCUAACAGAAUUAGCAAUCACUCUGUGUAAGUUUUCUUUAAGAAUCCAUUCCAUUCAGCUGUUCUACAGUACUUUUUAAAGUCAGAGGUUGGAAAGUUUCAAAGUAUCAGGAAUGCAUUAAUACACUGCAAUGUGUGACACUACAAAUAAUUAAUAUAUAAAAUAUGCAGUUUUUUUCCUUCAGAUAGACCAUCCUUAUCGACGCAGAUAACUGGUAUCUCCGUGCUUUCAACCCAUGAGAGGUGCUGACGCAACUAGCCGGGUUUGAUCACGCUGAGCAGGGCCAUGUCAGCACAGGUACAGUACAGGGCAGGUAUGGCUCAGGUACGGCUCACAUACUUUGCAAUCGAACACCAUCAGUUCGAGGAACAGAUCGGGUACGGCUCGGUUCCUGGUGGCAGUGGAAAUGUGCCAUAAGGUUCAUCUCAGCUUUCACUGUGAGCUUCCACUUUGUUACUUCAGAAAGAGUGAAAAAUGAGAGUAAGGCAAACAUGGCCAGGUGGGAGGAAUUCCACCUGCAAAAGCUUUUACCCAUAAUCCCUUCCCUUCUUAGACAAACUGAGACCAGCAGGGGGAUGUGGAAAAAAGUCCUGUCAUUCACCGUGUACUAGCCCAGAUGUGGUGCCUAGCCUAUGUAAAUAACCUCCACCUUCCUUCUUCAUCUGCCUUCCUCAGCUGAGCGUGUCUCCGCUUUGAGCCUGACAAACUCCUUGGCCACCUCAUCGUUGGAUCGCUGAGAGAGGAUCCGCAGAACUGUCAGGCCUGUCUCGUCUGUCUGUAUCCGACAGCCCAGAGGGCACCAGCAGAUGCAACUGCGUCUGUCAGCCACAUCCCGCAGCUGUACGACAGCAAUGCCCACGACCCGGUCUGCCCGACCAAAGCAGUAGUCCUUCACGCACACCUGUAACUCGUAACAGUCCAAACGUACUUCAUUUCCCAGAGUGCUAUGGGAGAAGAAGAGGCAGAUAGUUUAAAAUUAGAAGUGCUGCUUUUACUGUUUGCCGGCAUGCAAGUUACUUCAUGUCUGUAUUGGACAGAAACGUUAUGAAUAUCUGUAGGUGCAUGGAGUUUAAACUUUGCUUGAAGCAAGGGUGUAGCCAUUUGCGCAGGUUUGUGGGACUGCACUCACAAGAGAAAGGACUCGUUAUACUUUGGUGACCAGCUGUUGUUCUUGGACUUGGUUGUGAACUUGCGUUUCCUCUCACUGAUAUGGGGGCCGAUGAUUGUCACGUCCACAAAGGGUCGGAACAUUCCAGUGGUCUGCCACUUCAGGUCAUUCACUGCGAGAACUAGAGGGGAGGGAAGGCAACACCUCAGCAAAAGCAGCAGACAAAGAGGACUCAAACUUUUCUGUCUGUUCUCUGAAGAUUAACAAUCCAGUAAAACAA